AGUGAACGCUGGCGGUAGGCCUAACACAUGCAAGUCGAACGGCAGCACAGUAAGAGCUUGCUCUUACGGGUGGCGAGUGGCGGACGGGUGAGGAAUACAUCGGAAUCUACUUUUUCGUGGGGGAUAACGUAGGGAAACUUACGCUAAUACCGCAUACGACCUACGGGUGAAAGCAGGGGAUCUUCGGACCUUGCGCGAUUCAAUGAGCCGAUGUCGGAUUAGCUAGUUGGAGGGGUAAAGGCCCACCAAGGCGACGAUCCGUAGCUGGUCUGAGAGGAUGAUCAGCCACACUGGAACUGAGACACGGUCCAGACUCCUACGGGAGGCAGCAGUGGGGAAUAUUGGACAAUGGGCGCAAGCCUGAUCCAGCCAUACCGCGUGGGUGAAGAAGGCCUUCGGGUUGUAAAGCCCUUUUGUUGGGAAAGAAAAGCAGCAGGUUAAUACCCCGUUGUUCUGACGGUACCCAAAGAAUAAGCACCGGCUAACUUCGUG
rnacentral:rRNA from 1 species